UUGAUACUCCCUCCAUCCGGAAAUACUUGUCCUAGAAAUAGUUACGUCCAUUUUAUUUAUUUCUAGGACAAGUAUUUCCGAACGGAGGGAGUACAUA
rfam:Triticum aestivum genome assembly, contig: Triticum_aestivum_CS42_TGACv1_scaffold_148415_2BS